rnacentral:rRNA from 1 species
AACGGCCGUACCAUGCUGAAUAUACCGGUUCUCGUUAGAUCACCGAAGUUAAGCAUCAUUGGGCGCGGUCAGUACUUGGGUGGGAACA